rnacentral:rRNA from 1 species
GAUGAACGCUGGCGGCGUGCCUAAUACAUGCAAGUCGAGCGAACGGACGAGAAGCUUGCUUCUCUGAUGUUAGCGGCGGACGGGUAAGUAACACGUGGAUAACCUACCUAUAAGACUGGGAUAACUUCGGGAAACCGGAGCUAAUACCGGAUAAUAUUUUGAACCGCAUGGUUCAAAAGUGAAAGACGGUCUUGCUGUCACUUAUAGAUGGAUCCGCGCUGCAUUAGCUAGUUGGUAAGGUAACGGCUUACCAAGGCAACGAUGCAUAGCCGACCUGAGAGGGUGAUCGGCCACACUGGAACUGAGACACGGUCCAGACUCCUACGGGAGGCAGCGGUAGGGAAUCUUCCGCAAUGGGCGAAAGCCUGACGGAGCAACGCCGCGUGAGUGAUGAAGGUCUUCGGAUCGUAAAACUCUGUUAUUAGGGAAGAACAUAUGUGUAAGUAACUGUGCACAUCUUGACGGUACCUAAUCAGAAAGCCACGGCUAACUACGUG